rnacentral:rRNA from 1 species
UACGUAGGGGGCUAGCGCUGUCCGGAUUUAUUGGGCGUAAAGAGCGUGUAGGCGGCCAGGUAGGUCUGCUGUGAAAACUCGAGGCUCAACCUCGAGACGUCGGCGGAAACCAUCUGGCUAGAGUCCGGAAGAGGAGAGUGGAAUUCCUGGUGUAGCGGUGAAAUGCGCAGAUAUCAGGAAGAACACCCGUGGCGAAGGCGGCUCUCUGGGACGGUACUGACGCUGAGACGCGAAAGCGUGGGGAGCGAACAGG